UGUAUUUCAAACCUUAAUUCUUCAACAUUAUGCAGAUACUUCCAACUCUAGUGCCGUAGGAUACGUUUAUAUCAUCAUAGGCCCUCUGGCCUGGCACCUUUAUGCCAUGACACUGGGUGAAUAAGAGGGUUUCUGGAAGCCAUUCCUACAGCAGGACAGGAGAAACUGUGAACCACAAAAAUAUCCCACUAAACCCCAAACUAAAUGUACCCUAAAUUUAAUUCUCUUUUAGCUAAAUCCUCCUAAUACCAACACCACCUGUUAUCAGAGGAUGUGUGACUGCAACGAAGUCAGAAAGGAAAGAGACAGUGGUCUUAAAUGAUGAUGGUUCAUACACCCUUCGUUUGCAAAUUUUGUUCAAAAAAAAGAAAAGAAAAGAAAAGUCUACCACGUGAACCAUCUCUGGGAUUCUUUCCAGGACCUUGAAACUGGCCUGUAUCUCCAUUCCUGUCCCAUCCAGAUUCUUCUGCCCUUAACUCCCUACUCUCCCGGGAAGCCUGCCUUGAAGGGAAUGGAUGCAGCAUGAGGUGCGCCAGCAGACGGAGAAAGGGGGCCACAUGCAUAGCCUGUAGAAGCUGGAAAAGGCAAGGAAAAAGAUUCUCCCUUAGAGCCUCUGGGAAGCAACACGGCCCUCUUGACACCUUGAUCUUAGCCCGGGGAGACCUGUGUUGGCCUUCUACCUUUGGGAGCUGUAAAACAAUAAAUCUGCAUUGUUUCAAGCUA